CUUGGGAAAAGACUAAAUUGCCCUUUGUAAAAUUAAGUUCGGAACUAAAAUCUUAAUUUUGGGACUUGGCACGACACAAUACUUAUCGAGGUGGCUUACUGAAAAAGGGAUGAGUUCCAUUUUGCACCAUGGCACGACACAACAUAAUUGUGUUGCGUCACUAAAAAAGGACGAGUGCCAUUUUGCACUCCACCAUGACGUGGUGUCUAUUCUAUUGAGAUUUCAGGCAUGAUACUAGAAAAUUGUGGUGAGCUACUAAAAAGGGAUGAAUGGGAAUUUGGGCUCACCACAAUGCGGGCUAAUCGCGGUGCUUCACUGAAAAAGGACAAUUA
rnacentral:lncRNA from 1 species